UACGGAAGGCAGCAGUGGGGAAUAUUGCACAAUGGGCGCAAGCCUGAUGCAGCCAUGCCGCGUGUAUGAAAAAGGCCUUCGGGUUGUAAAGUACUUUCAGUCGUGAGGAAGGUGUUAAGGUUAAUAACCUUAGCAAUUGACGUUAGCGACAGAAGAAGCACCGGCUAACUCCGUGCCAGCAGCCGCGGUAAUACGGAGGGUGCGAGCGUUAAUCGGAAUUACUGGGCGUAAAGGGCACGCAGGCGGUUAAUUAAGUUGGAUGUAAAAUCCCCGGGCUUAACCUGGGAAUGGCAUUCAAGACUGGUUAGCUAGAGUCUUGUAGAGGGGGUAGAAUUCCAUGUGUAGCGGUGAAUGCGUAGAGAUGUGGAGGAAUACCGGUGGCGAAGGCGGCCCCUGGACAAAGACUGACGCUCAUGUGCGAAAGCGUGGGGAGCAAACAGGGAUUAGAUACC
rnacentral:rRNA from 1 species